AAACUAUCCCUUUAAGAAAAAGCAAGUUUAUUAUGCAUCCAAGAGUAAAUGAUAAUUUUUAUUUUCAGUAUAGUAUCCUUUAAGAUUUUUUUUUGUUUUUUUUUUUUGAGUAAAUGAUGACAGAAUUUUAAUUUUGGCUGGACUAUCCCUUUAAAACUUUCAAGACCUAAUUUUUGAUCUUGCAACAUCACUCCCUCUAUUUAUUAUUCUAUCCUCACCUCUUUCAUCUCCAACUGGACCUGUUUGAGACCACCCAGGACUUCCUCGAGCUCUGUGACCACUUGUUUGAUCUGUUCCCGUACUGUUCCCUGGCUCUUCCUCUGCUUGCCAUGUUUCUCCAGACCCUCGUCCCCCCGAGGCGUCCUUACUUCCCGCUGCGGUCCGUUCACCUGCAGCCCAUUCCCGAGUGCCCUGGAGCGGCCCAGCUUGCUUGAGGGCACCUCGGUUGGGAAAAAACCUGCCUGAUUUGAGUUCGGCCCAUUACAGUGUGAUUGUCUGCCAGUCUCAGGUCGCUCCUCGCGAUGCCGGAAUGACACCCGUCUCCUCUCGCAAUGUCCGUUAUAUUCAGGCUGAUGAAUGGUGUCCCAUUCCUGAAUGUAGGAUGAGUAGCACCGGUGACCUCUGACCUUCAAAACAUGGUCACCGUUGAAGGGAUGCGGGUAAUACCAGCGCUGGACGCAUCCGCACUCCCGCCGGAUCUCCCGAACGCACGCCGAGUCCCACCUGUAGCACGGAUGCCGGAUCUCGUCGGCAUAAACCGGAGAUGCUCCAGUCCUCUCCGCUCGCUCCAUCCCUAACUCCUUUGGGAACGGGGCUACUCCGGACUCCAGACAUGAUCCGUCUGCGGGGCCCGGCGCGCGUCGCAAGCAAAGUUGGCAGUAAGGCGUUGGGAAUCUCAAAUUCUCCGAGUGCAUUCCAGUCUGAAAGGCGACUUAGAAAACAACUGGUUCUCUCUCUCCACCCAGGCCAUCCACAGCGUCUGUUUUUCUCAUCUGUGCCUCCUCUCGUUCACUGCGUUUGACUCUCUCUCUCUCUCUCCCCUUCUCUCCCUCUCUAACUUUUCGCUCACCUCCCCCUUCCUUCCUUCCUUCCUUCCUCCUUUUUCUAACUUACUCUUUUUUUACCCCCCACUUUUCCUCCUCGUUGCUCUUUCUCCAACGGUGGGCCUCUUUUCUCUCCCUCCCGCCUUUUUUUUCUCCAACUCUGAAGUCUUACUUCAGCGUUUCACCUCUUUCUUCACCUCCCCACUGCGUAAAAAUUCCCCAGCUCACCCAUUCCCAAACUCCAAACACUUCCUUCCUACACCUUCCCCGUCUCUCUCUCCCAGGGUUGGGGCUCGUAAAGCGUUGACAGACGCAGCGGCUCCCGAUCUUUCCCCUCAGAUCUUGCCACUCGGCAAUUAAACACAGCCAGGAUUCCACGCCGCCUGAGACGGGAGAAAGAGAGAGAGAGACGUUCGGCCCCAGAAAAGGGGAUUUUCGGUAUAACUGGAUUCCCACAAGCCCGUGUGAGUUGGAGAAAUGAGUGCGCAUUUACCGUCCCGUUUGUUUAUGUGAGUCAGCUGAGAUACUGCCACUGUUUGUUAUGAUUCACGUCUUGUGAAACCUUUAAUGAACAACACACCACAUGCUGUUUAUAGAUCGCUUGAAUUUCGCAAAAUCACACUCGUUUAUUUGGAGGUAAACACUUUCGGUUUUAGUUUUCCACUGGAAAGAGGAACCGCAAAUGACACCUCCUUUAUUAUGGUCGUUCUCACAGGCAGCAACUGAGAGGAGUUUGGUCAACAUCUCCUGCUACUCAGAUGUUUCUCAUGAGAGAAAAAGCCCACAUGUGUCUCCUUUAGAGGUUUAAGAGAGAUCUCAAGAAAUGUCUCAAACUGAGACACCCAUAACCAAAUGCAUUGGUGAUGUUUGUUCGUUAGGAUUUGUGUCUUGUGACAAGUUGAAUGCAGGGUUAUUAUAUUUAACUAAAAC
ensembl:lncRNA